rnacentral:rRNA from 1 species
AAUGGGUCAGCGACUUAUAUUCUGUAGCAAGGUUAACCGAAUAGGGGAGCCGAAGGGAAACCGAGUCUUAACUGGGCGUUAAGUUGCAGGGUAUAGACCCGAAACCCGGUGAUCUAGCCAUGGGCAGGUUGAAGGUUGGGUAACACUAACUGGAGGACCGAACCGACUAAUGUUGAAAAAUUAGCGGAUGACUUGUGGCUGGGGGUGAAAGGCCAAUCAAACCGGGAGAUAGCUGGUUCUCCCCGAAAGCUAUUUAGGUAGCGCCUCGUGAAUUCAUCUCCGGGGGUAGAGCACUGUUUCGGCAAGGGGGUCAUCCCGACUUACCAACCCGAUGCAAACUGCGAAUACCGGAGAAUGUUAUCACGGGAGACACACGGCGGGUGCUAACGUCCGUCGUGAAGAGGGAAACAACCCAGACCGCCAGCUAAGGUCCCAAAGUCAUGGUUAAGUGGGAAACGAUGUGGGAAGGCCCAGACAGCCAGGAUGUUGGCUUAGAAGCAGCCAUCAUUUAAAGAAAGCGUAAUAGCUCACUGGUCGAGUCGGCCUGCGCGGAAGAUGUAACGGGGCUAAACCAUGCACCGAAGCUGCGGCAGCGACGCUUAUGCGUUGUUGGGUAGGGGAGCGUUCUGUAAGCCUGUGAAGGUGUGCUGUGAGGCAUGCUGGAGGUAUCAGAAGUGCGAAUGCUGACAUAAGUAACGAUAAAGCGGGUGAAAAGCCCGCUCGCCGGAAGACCAAGGGUUCCUGUCCAACGUUAAUCGGGGCAGGGUGAGUCGACCCCUAAGGCGAGGCCGAAAGGCGUAGUCGAUGGGAAACAGGUUAAUAUUCCUGUACUUGGUGUUACUGCGAAGGGGGGACGGAGAAGGCUAUGUUGGCCGGGCGACGGUUGUCCCGGUUUAAGCGUGUAGGCUGGUUUUCCAGGCAAAUCCGGAAAAUCAAGGCUGAGGCGUGAUGACGAGGCACUACGGUGCUGAAGCAACAAAUGCCCUGCUUCCAGGAAAAGCCUCUAAGCAUCAGGUAACAUCAAAUCGUACCCCAAACCGACACAGGUGGUCAGGUAGAGAAUACCAAGGCGCUUGAGAGAACUCGGGUGAAGGAACUAGGCAAAAUGGUGCCGUAACUUCGGGAGAAGGCACGCUGAUAUGUAGGUGAAGCGACUUGCUCGUGGAGCUGAAAUCAGUCGAAGAUACCAGCUGGCUGCAACUGUUUAUUAAAAACACAGCACUGUGCAAACACGAAAGUGGACGUAUACGGUGUGACGCCUGCCCGGUGCCGGAAGGUUAAUUGAUGGGGUCAGCGCAAGCGAAGCUCUUGAUCGAAGCCCCGGUAAACGGCGGCCGUAACUAUAACGGUCCUAAGGUAGCGAAAUUCCUUGUCGGGUAAGUUCCGACCUGCACGAAUGGCGUAAUGAUGGCCAGGCUGUCUCCACCCGAGACUCAGUGAAAUUGAACUCGCUGUGAAGAUGCAGUGUACCCGCGGCAAGACGGAAAGACCCCGUGAACCUUUACUAUAGCUUGACACUGAACAUUGAGCCUUGAUG